UACGUAGGGGGCAAGCGUUGUCCGGAUUUAUUGGGCGUAAAGAGCGUGUAGGCGGCUUUACAGGUCCGUUGUGAAAACUCGAGGCUCAACCUCGAGACGCCGGUGGAAACCGUAAGGCUAGAGUCCGGAAGAGGAGAGUGGAAUUCAUGGUGUAGCAGUGAAAUGCGUAGAGAUCAUGAGGAAGACCAGUGGCGAAGGCGGGUCUCUGGACAGUUCCUGACACUGAGGCACGAAGGCCAGGGGAGCAAACGGG
rnacentral:rRNA from 1 species